rnacentral:rRNA from 1 species
CAGCGCCACGAGUGGCAGUCGCGUUUAUUGGGCCUAAAGCGUCCGUAGCAGGUUCUGUAAAUCUUUUGUGAAAUUGCCGAGCUUAACUUGGCACUGUGCAGGAGACACUGCAAGACUUGAGACCGGGAAGGGUCAGAGGUAUUCCUGAGGGAGCGGUAAAAUGCUAUAAUCUCAGGAGGACCACCGGUGGCGAAGGCGUCUGACUAGAACGGAUCUGACUGUGAGGGACGAAAGCUAGGGGAGCGAACCGGAUUAGAUACCCGAGUAGUCC